UCUCCCACAUUGCAGGCAGAUGCUUUACAUCUGAGCCACCGGGGAAGCCUCUCUCUCUCUUUCUCUCUCUCAUACCAGGGUGGUUCCCAGACCUGGCUGAGCACUAGAAUCAAUUGAGAAGCUUUAAAAAGAUCCCGAAGCCUCAGCCUUACCUCAUACCUUACACCAGAAUAUAUGAGAGAAAGCUCUGUGCAUUUGUAGUUUUUGAAAUCUGAUCUCAGGUGCUCAGAAUUUGAUAAGUUCAGAUAUUUAUUCAAGAUUCAAUAAUGCACAGGUUACUAAUGGUCAUCAAGGAGAACAAGAUUCACUUUAUUCUGGGUUAGCCUGAUUCUCGGACAAGGAAUUACUUUCUUCAUCAGUUAAAUUGUCUCCAGGGUCUCUGUCUUUAUCUCCGAAACACACGUUCUUUGAAAGACCAAAGAAGACAAUGGAUGAAGUGGCCUGCUGUGAUAUUCUCAUCUUGGGAAAAUUACAGAGGUACUUCAGAAUAAAGUUGGGAUGUCCCAUUCUCUGUUCUGUGGUUGUAACAUUUUAAAUCUCCUCUCUCCAAGGCACACGUGUGUGUCAGAAUCUCUCCAGUUCUGCCAAGUCCAACUGCCAUCGUGCCCAUAGACAAGACUAAAUAAACUGAUAUGAAGUGUUCCUUGCACCACUAAACUGGAGUCUGAAGGAGGUGUAUUCACCAUCUGGGCUCAUCUUUGAUACCAGAGAUUUGGAGAACCAGAGGAAAUGAGGAGCCCCCGAGAGAACCUCCCUGAGACAUGUCCACGCAGACCUGGGCACCGAGGUGGCACUCCCCAUCUGUGGUUUGUCAAAAUUUUGACAUGUGGCAUAAUCUGCCACUAAUCAGAACAGAGGAAAACAAAUGAAAAAAAGAAGAAGGCAGUCUAAGACUGUAAGUAGGAAAACAGACAUAGAAAACUUCUAUCUUUCCAAGUAGGAAAAGUAUUUAGCAUGUUUUUCUAAAACAAAGCUGAUCUGUCUUUGGACAAAGUUGGAGCUCCCAGGUUUGCCGUGACAGAUGUGACUUCUCUGUGUCCUGCAGAGCUCAGCAGUGGGGGUUCAGGCAGCUCAGAGCGGGAAAAGAAACCAUGUGGAUACAGAUGAAAUAACAGAGUUAAGGAUAGUCAAAUCACCAAAUUUAAGGACUUCAUUUAAAAGACGCGCAAGCUUAGUUUUGUUUUAGUAUAGCUAAGGUGUCAUUGACUUACAGAAACAACUCAAUGGCAUUAAUCUUCGGGUUAUAUAUUAUAUAACUGUAAAGCAUUUUCCUAAGAUUUAGCAUUUGAAUUUAUAUGGUAUGGACAUCUACUACAGAAAAUACUAUUUAUUGAUAAGGUACUUUAAUGAUAUGGGAAAUGCAUGGAGAAGCAUUUUGAAAAAAUUAUUUGCUGUCUCUGCUUCUCCUCUUCCUCUAUUGAUUUGUUAUGAAAACUCUACACUUACAAUAAUAAGUGUAGAAUAAUUCUACCUCAGAUCUGGAGCAGGUCCCGAUAUAUAGCACAUACUCAAGAAUAUUUUUUUAAGGAGAGAGAGAGGGAAAAAAAUGGAGUAGCUUAAUGAUAUUUAUACCAUGAAUGCCGCUAAAAUGGGUAAAAAUUAAUGCUGAUAUGUAGACUUAUAAAGAUUAAUAGAGACUUUCUUGUUGUUGCUGUAUUUCUAAGUCCCAGUUGGAUAAGGCGUUGAGCUGAGUAUUUCUCUGUUUAAACAUAGCAUCUGCUUAUGGGCAGAGGAUUCCUUAGCCUGAUUCAGGCCAGCUCUACGUUUAAAAAUAAAUGACAUGGAUCUGAGUUUCAGAGAAGUAGUACAGGAAAAGUGAGACAAAACAACAACAAAACAGAAGUCACAAGAGUGUACCAGACAACAGGAGCAGAGUGUGAAGAUGAGGGGAAGGUCAGGGACAACCCUGUCCUUACCUCGGAGACGGAGCUGAAACAACAGACACCAUAAUCAUUUCAGGGUAUCGAUUAUUCAAACCAUCUCCCUCUCUGCUCUCAAUCCUCUAUGCCACCAAGUCAUCUGUUAGGCACCGGCAAGGGGUGGGAAGUGGGGCAAAAAAGGAAAAAAGUAAAGGACUGAACUUACAUAUAAUUUGCCACUAAUUAAUAAUGGUAAGCACAUACCACAUAACGCUGCUUACUUAUUUAUUAUGCCAGGUGCUCCUGGAGUACUCUGUGUAUACUAACUCCUUCAAUUCUCACAGCAGUCCUUUGAUUAUUUCCAUUUUACAGAUGAAGGGGUCAAGGCACAGAAAGAUCAAAAGUGUUUGAAGAGUAAAGUCAAGAUUCAAACCCAGGUGGUCAGUCUCAGAGCACGUCCCCUUGUCUAUUACUCAGAUGCCCAGGUGGAAGAAGACCUGGAUUUGGGAUGAAAUACUUUCAGAUUCCCUUUCACAUCAUCAGGUAGUCUAGAUUCCUGUGUGCUCAGUCACUCAAUUGUGUCAGACUCUUGCCAUUCCAUGGACUGUAGCUUGCCAGGCUCCUCUGUUCAUGGGAUCUUCCAGGCAAGAAUACUGCACUGGGUUGUCAUUUCCUUCUCCAGGGGAAUCUUUCCAACCCAGGGACUGAACCCGCGUCUCCUGCCAAAGAUUCUUCUGCAGGCAGAUUCUUUACCGCUGAGCCACCUGGGGGCUUCUGUAUCACAUUGUAAAUAGGAGUGGUCUGUUUGGGUACCUAGCCAAAUACAGAGUACAGGUUCAAUAAAAUACUUGUCCAGUCAAAGGAUGUUUCAGGUCAAUUUAUAGUAGAACUCUUCAGAACAUAUUGAUGAAUUGAUGCUUUCAAACUGUGGUGUUGGAGAAGACUCUUGAGAGUCCCUUGGACUGCAGGGAAAUUAAACCAGUCAAUCCUAAAGGUAAUCAACCCU